rnacentral:lncRNA from 10 species
ACUGGAGUGAAAAUACAGAAGUUGGUGCCCUUUGCAGCAGCCAGGAGUCCGACUCCUCCUCUUCCUGUGUGGAACCUGGAAUUCAAACGGCUGGAGUCAAAGAAACUUUGAACUAUUUAUGGCCUUUAAUAAUUAAGUAAGGUAUACUCCUGUGAUCAAGACUUGGAGCAUAUUUGUUUCUCUCUGCCUGGUUCCUCUAGAAAUUGGAAACUAUCAGAACAGAGACCAACUCCGUUUCCCGAUCCCUUUGCAAUCUGCAUUGAACCAUGAGUCAAGUUCUUGAUAAAGGAGUGAAAAUGGAUGACAUUUAAGGCACAUCUGAAGAUGGGGAAACCACAGCACAGAAUAAGGCUGGGCCCUUGAAUCAAUAAAUGAAGGAGAACUACUCAAGAGAACAAAACCACCAGCAAUAUCCACCUGUAUUUGUCUUUUCAUAAUGUGUGACACAUGUGCUCAUGGAUUAUUGUCCGAAGCAAGACAUGUGACCAAGCCUAACAUCAACUGGGUGAAGAGCUAUAUGUUCCUUUCUCAAGAGGCACUACAAGUGACAUGCCACUGG